AUAUCUAUUUAAUUUAUUUUAAUUUAUUUAUUUAACUUGCCUUAGGUGAAAAGAUCUCAACGCUUCAUUUUUACAAAAAUCAGUUUGCAUAAUGUGAUGUAACGUGAUAAAGGCAUGUAUGUGAGUGUGUGUUUGAUAGCAGUGUGAAUUUUUGCUAUGUAAUAUGUUUGUAAAAUUGGACAGUGCUAUGCUCCAAAUGCUAACGUACAUUUUUGAGGUGAUUUGACCACUAGCACUGCAUUGUAUUAGUUGACCACUAGUACUGUGUUAGUUGACAACCAGCACAAGGUGUUCACUGUCCCUAGCAAGCAAUGCGUUAGUUGUCCACUAACAAGUCAGUGUGUUAGUUGACUAUCAGCACUGCAAUAUAAUUGCUUUUAUAAAUAAACUGGACUGCUAAUCAACUAAAAAGUUGUAAAAUAAUUUUGUUUUACAUGAAUUUUCUAAAUUAAAUUUUAAAAAAAAUCAUGGAAGAAAAAAGCAAAUUAAACAAGUUCCUUGCGCUUAUGUUAUGACUAACCUUAGCGAAAACUAAAAACUUUACUUUGAUGCAAGAAAAAAAAAUGUGACUUUUUUUAUAACAAAUUUUUGUAUGGAUUUUCAUGAUAAAUUUUUUAAAUGUUUAAAAAGAAUUAAAAUAUCUUCAAGAAAUUUUGAAGGGUCAAAAAUUGAAACAAAAAAAAUCAAAACAAAAUGGCAAGUAGUUGGAAGCAAAGGACAAAAAAAAAAGAAAUAUUCUUAAACUUUCUCUUUAUUCCUAAUCACAUUAUGCAGUGUCUAGAGAAAAGUUAAAAUACCUCACCUUUUGUCUGUUAGGAAAUGUGAGCAUGCUGGUACACAGUCGUUGACACAAUCAUAUGACAAAUAUGAUGUCAUAGCUUUCACUCUGUGUUGUUGCUGAGUUUUGUCUGUAUAGAUGGCACAAGCCUUUUACAAAUUGCAGACAAACUUGUAGUUGACCAAAAACAAUAUAUAUAUAUAUAAUUAUUAUUUACCUAUUUCAUGUCACUUUUAUUUUUUUUAUUUGCAUUUGUUGUGUUUGUUUUUUUUUUCAUUUUGAAUAUAUGUUUAUUAUUAUUAUUAUCAUUAUUAUUAUUAUUAUUAUUAUUAUUAUUAUUGCACUUAAGUUUCUCUUUUUAAAAUGUUUCAAACAACAUAAUUGUUUUUUUUCUUAUUUAUUCUAAUUUUCAUGAUUUUUUUUCUUGUUUUUGUUGUGUAUAGAUUUAGAGGACAUUGAGUGUGCUGUCGUUAAAAAACCUAUCUGAUUUCAAAGUGCACUGUAAUCAGAAAGACAUAACUGUAUUUUUAGAAGCCUUUUUUUUUAACCAUUAUUUCUAUUAUUACUGAGGUUUUGUUGAUUUACACUUUUUUUUUUUGUAGAAAUAAUAUGUGCACUGAAACGUCAGAUGUAUAAACAAUGUAAAAAGUUUUCAUAGCUUUUAUUAGUGGGCUCCAUGCAAAAAUAUAAGGAACCAUUAACAAAUUUUAUGCAUUUUUAUAUAUGGAUUUAUAAUCCAUUUUAAUAAUGUUAUGCAUGUUAAUUAUAACUUCAGAUGAUUUUUUUUUAACAGAUGGCUAAACAAAGAAAAUGAACCAAAAAUAAUUUUAAAAACAUUUUUAACACAAAAAAGUACAACGUUCUUUUUUUUAAUCAACUAGGAGAAAGAUAUUUGCUUUCCAGGUGGUAGUAGGGGCCAGUUACAGAUGCAUUUCCAUAGUUUGUUUGAGAAUUAUUUGAUGACAAAAUUAAUUCUGGGUUGCAGGAAUUUUUUUCUUUUUCUAUAUAUAUAUAUAUUUUCUCUUUAAUAGCAAGCAGUGGUCUUGCUUGUAUUCAGUCCUCCUAACAUUUAGGGUGUGAUAUUUGAGUAUGCUAGCCUGGUUUUGCUGCAUGCUGUGUGUACAAUUAUCUUGAAUAUUCUAUGUAUGGUCACUGCUUUAAGAGCAAUUUCACUUGACUUGCUACGUUGCAUACCAUACCAACAAGGAAACAUAAAGAUACAAACACACAUACAUACAUACAUACACACACACACACACACAUAUAAGUGCAACCAAAGACACACACAUAUACAUCUUGGAUUGGGAAAUCAAUUUUAUCAUUUAAGAAACAGAUAUUAAACUAAUAUGCAAAACACUCUUUUUAUAUUGUCUUGUUAUUUUUUCUCACUUUUCUCUUAAGUUCUUUUUGUGUUUGAACAGUAACACAGAACAUAGCUUACAUAUUUUUUAUUUCUAAUGGAAGUAAAAAAAAAUAUUUGUCUAGUAAGUUUCUGAAAUCAACUUUGAUACAAGUAAUUUACAAUUCUAGUAUUUGCACUGCCUCCUGUAUUUGUAUGCUCUCGACAGUUUGUAUUAGAUUUAAUAUAUAUUGAAGCAUAUGAACUUACUUUGUUAAAUCAAUGUAGAAUAUAAGAAAAACAAAGGUUAGAAGAUUAAAAAGUUGGCUUUUGUUUUUAAAUUUCAACUUCUAUUUCUUUCUUUUGUUUACAUUCAUAAUUAAGAAGAGGUCUGAGAUUGAGAUUAAAAGCAUAAAUAAAAUGUUGGAAACGAUAGGAAUGAAAGCCAACCAUUUAUCAUAUACUUGAGUUUGUCAAUAAUUAUGAAUCCAGUGUUUAUCACUCUUGUUUAGAGAUCACACAUUGAAAGAUGGUACCUUUCCAUUAGAAAAUAGAUUCCACUACAUUUUUUUCUGUCAACUUUGUACACUAUUAAUUCCUUUCCUACCUUUUUCUCAUCUAUACACUUCACGUAGCAUAUAUGUGCACAGCUGUAAAAUACUUUUUCAGACUAUUUCAACAUGAAUAACAUUGGUUUCCGAAUCCUUUCUACUACUUGUUUCUUUUUCUUUUAUUUCCAUUUGUCUUUGAUAAUAUACUAUUGCUCAAUAGAUUUCUUUUUACUGUAUAAAAAAAGUAUGAUUUAAUGCACCAAAAAUCUCAAAACUUAAAUGAUGAAACAAAAUCUUUACAAUAGUUAUUUCUCCCCUCUUGCCUCAUCUCCUUGCCGCACAUUCACAAGUUUUCCUUUUGUGAUAAAAGGGUUUAAUAAAUGUAAGGAUUAUAAUCUGAUAGGAGAGCAUUUUAGUCAAGUCAAUAAGAAAGAAACCAGACAACCAAUUGUGGGUUUAUCAAAUCAUAUCAUCUCACUAGCACUGUGUUAAAUCCAUGACCAAGGUACUUAGAUCUCAUUGGCUAAGUCCACCUAGAUUUCAGUGUCUCACAUGGUGGAAUAAUUCAAUGCAGCAGCACUGCAGAAUUGAUGAGCAUUUCAUUGGCUUGUAGUAUUGGUUUCAUUUCCUCUGGAAAGAAGAGGAAAGGCUACCUGCAAUGAACCAUCAUUUUAUUUAGGGUAGAUUUUAUGUUGCACAAACCUGGUAUAAACAAUGGCCCUCUGUAGAUCCUCAUGACUGAAAAUAAAAUAAGCUAGUUUAUGUAGCUGGAUAGAAAAAUCAGAUAAGUUUAUGAAGGAACGGUCUUAAUAAGAAAUUGUUUCUCACAUAAACUUCAAAUUUUUAUAUGAAUCAAAUACAUAAAAUUUCACAAUGAAAACAAUUAUAAUUUUGGCUGACUUUUUUAUAGUUUAUAUACAUCUUCAUAGUUAUUAAGUUUCAACUCAAUAUUUGAUAAAUGAUAGAGGGUGUUUAAAUAUUUCAAUAAAAUUUCUGCCUUACAUAAGUUUUCUUAUUAAUUUCACAAACUAGAUAAGUAUUAUUUCAAUAAAUAUGACGGAAAGAAAUAUUUGUGCUUUUUAAAAUUAUAAAUUGCUAGAAACAAAAACAAUAUAACAUCAGGUUAAAUAGUAUUUAAUUCCAUCUACAUUCUGAUUUUAAGUUAAGCCCUACCCACAGGGUCGACUCUGCCUUUCAUCUUUGCCCUCAGAGGUGAUAGAAUAUGUGCCAAGCAUGUACAGAUGUCAGUUCAAUCAACUAUAACCUACCCCAAUUUCUCCAAAUGUAUGAUCUGGUGCCAAUAAACAAAGUCAUUAUAAGUAUAAUUGCUAUAAUACUAGUAUGAUCCAUUUCUUUAUAUGUGGGAUGCAAUCAAUCGCUUUCCACAUUUAUUGACUAAAUACCUGAUUAUAGUUCAUAGGUGUUUAUAUUAUAUUACAUUGGUCAAAGCUUCUGCAAACAUUGAUCUGCUGAACUUUACUUUCUUUUAUUGCCACCCAUUUCUGCAGUAUCUAGAUUUUAGAUUCCUUUAUCCAAUUGAGAAUCACAAUUUAUCAAUAUAUAAAAAAAAAGAAAACCACUGGAUUGGGAAGUCUACAAAAAUUACAUAAGUGUAUGAAGAUUUGUUUUGAAAUAUAAGAGUUCAGACGAAGUAAUAAAAAGAACAAAGCAUUUAUUAUAAGUUUGAUUAUGUAGUACUAUUGGAAUAUGUGUGUCGUACAUUUUGGGAUAGAUCAGCAUUCUUAAACAUAUAAUAUGUUUCAUUGCUAUUAAAAAUUAAAUCUUUGCAUGAAAAUAUAAACAACCAAUAAAUUUGAGCAAAGUGUCCUAUUCCUAACAGAUGACUUGCUGAAAUAGUCUGCAUUUGAUUCUAUUUAAACACAUAUGCAUGCACACACAAACAUAUACAAACACACACAAUAUCUUUUAUUUCCAAUCCUUUUAUAAAAUAAAAUGUCUUCAUGAUUUCCCCUUUGUCUUAUAAACCUCUCUUUGUCUGUGCUAGUUCUGACUACAUAACGACCCAUGCUUCUAUUGGCAAUAGAGAAAAACAAGGUAUAAUAAAAUUUGAAAAUUAUGGUCAGUCUGUGUGCUGUGAGAAGAGGUGAAUUCUAGUGUUAUAAGCAAGGAAGAGCUUUGCCUAAAAGAUUAAAACCCUUCACACCACACAAGCUUAAUCUUAAAUGCAAAUUUUAUUAACCACUUCUUUUCUUUUUUUUUUUUUUGUUUUGAGUGAGGGCAACACUGACUCUCUGUUUUUCUCACAUUCUAGUUUUUUGGGUUUUUGUUGUUUUUUAUCCUUUAUAAGUCUUAAUAUGUUGUUUUAUGAAAAAAAAUCAAGCAAUGAAUUAUGGUAUAGCAAGUAAAAGCUAAAAAUUACAAUCUCAAGAUAUAAAAGCACGAGUUCUUUCUAUUAUUUAUUAUCAUUUAUGAAAACAAUUUAACAUAAUUGUUAAUGGUCUUUCAAGUUGUGUGUAUAUACAUGCAUAUAUAUGUAUAUACCUGUGUGAAUGCUACUAAUGUGUAUGAUGAUAUAUGUAUGUGUGUGUGGUUAUAUGCAUGGCUGUAGAGUAUGUGUAUAUAAAAAAAAAAGCAUUUCUUUUUAUGUAUGUACAUCAAAACAAAAAUUUUCUGAAAUUCUACAUCAGAGACUGUAAAUCAGAACAACUUUUAACUUAUAUAAAGAACUGCUCUAUUAUAACUCUAAUUCAACACUUUGUCCUAUUCAUUGCAAUAUUAAAGGACAAAAGUUGCCUUUUGUUUUUGUUUUUUGUUGGUUUUUCUUUUCUUUUUUAUUUUAAUUUUCUAAGAUGAAUACUUAGAGAAGAAAAGAGAAUUUCAGUAAAAGCCUUCUCAUGACCUGCAGGAUAGGCAAGUUUUUCUUUUGUGUUUCGUUUAUGUAUUCCCUUCCAUAUUGAAAUAUUUGUACGUUAUAGUUUGAGUUUCAUUUAUUUACUUUUAUUUAUUUUUUUUUUUAAUCUGAAAGAAGAAAUCACUUAGUUCUUAAAAGGUUGGACGAAUGAUGUAAAUCUUAGACCAGAGCAAUAAUUAAGACUCAUAUUAUUGGUACAUUUGAAUAUUAGCCUUAUUAUUCGUCUCACAUAUACACACGCAUGAACACACUGACUUAGACCUCUGUCACUUCUUAUAGCUGGAUUGUUUUCCAAUGAGCAAACUGAACCCUGCAUCUCCAAUAUUGUUCUCUCAUACAAGCUAACAGUUCGUUUUUAAAAAAAUAAUCAAUUAUACCUUAUAUGAUAGUUUGUUUUCUUUCGUUAUUUGUUUGGUUUUUCUUUUCAUUCUAUAUUAUCCAGUUUAUUUAUUUUCAGUGUCAACUAUUGUACUUACUUUAAAUUCAUUUUUACACUAUGAAAACUUAGAGAUUUCUUUUUAAAUUGUUCUGGGGGGAAAUGCAUUAAAAUUUUCAAUAAUUUUUCUGGGUUUUUGUUUUUGUUUUUGGUACUAGACAAUUUGGCAAUUUUACCAGAUGAUGGUUUCUGUUUAUUAGAGUCUGUCAAUUAAUACUCAGAAUUUUCAUAAAAUCUUACAUUACUACAGUUUUACUGAAGAUCACACAACAAAAUCUUGGCAAUAAAACUUUAUAACAGCAAUGCCAUAAAACUAAAUAUCAGUAGCUAUAAGAAAACUAUUCUGCUCUAUUUAGUCCCUUUAAUGUAUUCUUUCAGCUCGUCACUAUUAACAAUGUCCUUUGUUAACAUUUUGAAUAAUUUUUGGCUUUGCCAGUUACUUGCCUUCCAGUUGUCACAAUUUUAUUAUCAUAUAAGCAAUAAUGAUGAUGAUAAUAAUAACUUUUAAACAAAAAUCAAAAACAAACAGUGACAUCAAGCUGAGAGAGAAAGAGUGAGCGAAAGAAAAUUAUAGUGACAAAAUACAUUUAGCAAAAUAGCUAUGUCUGGUCAAUUUUAACAAAGUCUGGCAAAAUUUAACUUCUACAACUUGUAAAUUUCCAGUAUGUCUGACAAAUUUCAACUACAUCAAAUUUCAACUAUGUCUGGCAAAAAAAGAAAAAAAAAAGAGAAAACUCUACAUUUAGUGUCUACAAAUACUGUGAUGAUGCUUAAUCAGUUUUAAAGCAGCAUUUUUCUAUCACUUUAUACAUGUUUGAUCCAUGAUCUAUGUUGCUCUUGCAAAUUUCUUGUAACAUACACCUUAAGCAUGACAUACAGGCAGCAGUAGGGAGAAGGUGGCGACUAUUAAUGACGAUGAUAAGUGUUGGAUUAUUUACAUUGACAGGCAAAUAGUCCUUGUUGGUGCCAGUCAAGAGACAUUAUAUCAGUAAUUUCUCCAUAUUGCAUAUUCCUUUAAUCUCUUCUACAUCUCUUUAUUUUCCUUCUCCAUUCCCAUUCAGUUUCAUAUUACUUCAAUGAUGCCAAGGAGAGGAGCAAUCUUAACAAAUAUGUUGUUUAAUACAUAUGGGUACAAUGUGUCUAUAUAUAUAUAUUGUAUGCCUGGCAAAUAAUUUAGUGCUUGCUGGACCAUCUGCCAGGCAAAUAAUUAAGAGGUUAGCAAUUUUUUUUAAAUGUUUUUAAAAUUUAAUUCACCACUUUUACAUUAUCGAAAAAUCUCUCACUCAGACUUUCGGUUAGAAAGCCACAAUAUUUACAUUAUUUUGCUGUGUAUGUGUGUGUGUGUGUGUAUGUAUAUAUAUGUACAUAUAUAUAUGUGUGUGUGUGUGUGUAUAUAUAUAUAUAUAUAUACAUAUACACACAUAUAUUCAUAACACACAUGCACAUACAUGCAUGUAUGUUUUUCAUACUUAUUCUAUUUGCUUCAUAGAUUGUUAUUUACUUUAUACGAGUAGAAUAUCCAUUUCUCUUCUGUUUGUUUACCAAUAUCUUUUAUAUUGGUUCGUCAAAGCAUAACUUAAACUUUUGUCUAUCCACAUCCACCCGGUUAACUUGCUGUUCAACUCCAUUGAGAUUUUUACCUACAUAGAACUUUCAAUAAUUACAUCAAUUAAUAUGAUGAGGAUAUCAUCGAUAACAAAGAAACUCAGAAGCUUUUAGCUAAAUUUUACACUUUUGUUAUUUCAUGAACUUGGAACAACUCUCAACAAUUCAAAAUAACCUCAUAAUUAACAUUUUCAUUUCUUUUGUUUCGUAUCUGAUAUAUUUCCAUUUGUUCAAUAGUAAUUCGUUUUGAAAUGAAUAUGCUCCAUGUUUCAAACAAUUUACUCUUUAAAAUUACUUGUGAUAUAAAAAGAGAACAUUAAAAGAAAGAUACUCAUAAAACUUAACGUCGGCAAUACUAUUUUAAAUACAUUAAAAUAGUACUUACAAUUUUAUACUUAAUAUUAUGGUAUAAUUUACAAAUCCAUAAUUUGAUGUUUUGGGGUUUUUUUGUUUUGCUUUGUCUUUUUUUUUCUUACUUAUUACACUUACCCUGCCUGCCUCAAUAUCAAAAAUGAAGAGUUUUUUUUAAAAAAAUCAAGAUGGAGAUUUUACUAACCAUUCUUGUACCGUUUUUGAUCCCACAAUAUUCACAAUCGGUAAAACCCUUCUAAUUUUUUUAAUUUCUUUGUAGCAAGUUUGUAGCUUUAUUUCUAUAUGUUCUUAUUAAACAAUUUACAUAAAGGGUUCACAAAUUAUUUACAUUUCUAUUUUGUUCUUAGUAAAAACACAGAUAUUGAUAGACUUGUACAAAUGUAGAUAUUGUUAUUUAAACAUUUUUGUGGUUCCAUUUGAAAACUCUUGCUUUAAUAUCAUAAUUAUGAAAACUUUUGAAGGAAUGAAGAAAGCAAAAUGUAAAAAAAAGUUACUCUUAAAACUCAUUUCUGUUAUACUCUUUGAAAUAUAAAAAAAAUUGAUAAACCUGAACGUUUCUGUGGGGAAAAAAAAAAGACCAGUAAAGAUCCUUGGAGCUUGAGCUUCCUAGAUUUUCACUUUGAAAAAGGGAUUCUACAAGUUCACUUUGUAUAUUAAGAAGUUUCCCGACUUAUAUAUAUUCUGUCAAAACUUAUGUUCUCUUUCUUGAGUACUAUGAACAUUUUAAGCAAUUUGAUCUAAUGAUAAACUGGUUCUCAGCAUAACUUAUACACAACUGAAGCAUAAAGUAUUAAAUUUGGUUAUAGGUAAAAGUUCAAUUUGUUUAACUAAGAACUAGCUAAACUCUAAAUCAGACAUUUUCCUAAUAUUUUAUACUUUCAUUUCAUACAUACAUACACACACACACACAUACACACACACACACACAUAUAUAUAUAUAUAUAUAUAUAUAUAUAUGAUAUAUGUAUGUAAUGACUUUUUUUAAUACCUUCAACGACAGAAAAAGUUACAAUUUAAGCUGAUGGUGACAAUAAUAAUAAUAGAACUAAUGUGUUGAUUCAGUCGGCAGUUAAUUGUGACUUUUGCUUUUAAACAUGUCACAGAGGAUUGAACUUGACACAAAAACAAAUACAAAAGGAAACAAAAAAGAAACUCUUUUAAAUCUAUUUGUUGUUUUGAACUCUUUUGACAUCGAAUAUUUACUAUUUUUGAUUUUUUUAAUAUUUGGUUUGAUAAAAUUUAUAGACGCCUCCCCCUUACCUUUAAUACUAUUAUUACCAUCGUCAUCAUUACAAUUUUUAUCAUUUUUAUGUUAGAAGAAUCUAAAAGAUUUAAGUUUUGCAUCAUGUUAGUAUUUCAUUUGGCUUAAAUCUCCACUAAAUGUAAAAUAUUUUGCUUGGAAAUGAAGAAAAAAUAUGAGUUUGAAGCUAGAUACAAAAGUUCAAAUUUGUGGGAAUUUCUUCACUUUGUGUUCUAAGGUGCAGCUUUUUGGUUUGAAGCAGGCUUUCAGUUCCGAAAGCAGUGCCCCAGUUGUUUUGUUAUUUAUUUUAGUCAGAUUUUUUUAUGUGCAAUUAAAGUAGAUAUGACAGUGUUUUGUUUUUUGUAACUAAAAAGACAUUGUAAAUACCAACAUUUUUCUAUCAGAAAAUAAACAAUGAAUGAAUCAUGUAGAUAUGAAUAGACUUGUGUGAUGGAGGGUGUGUUUAAACAAUUUGUGUAGUUACAUGUAUUUGUGUGUGCAUAUGUAUAUAUAUAUAUAUAUAUAUAUAUAUAUAUACAUACAUAUAUGUAUGUACAUAUGAAUGUGUGUGUGUGGAUAUGUAUGCAUAUACAUAAAUAUAUGUGUAUGCACACAUAUAUGUAUAAGAAAUACAUGCACAUACAUUUUACUAUAUAAUUCAUUGAUUGGAAUGGAAAGAGAAAGUUUCUAAUACUUUCAAAGGACUAAAUUUGUACAAAACUGUAGUUAUACCUUAAUAAACAUUCAUCAGCUUGACAGUACCAUUUCACUAGAAGAAAAUGGUAAACGUUUUUUGGAUCAAGUUGAAUUAAGUUCUUAAUAUAAAUGCUACAAUCUAGUAAGAUUUUUAUAAAUCAGUCUUGUAUGCUUGCAGUGGCAUGCAUCUGUUCUAUUAUCUUUGACUCAGACUUUUAACAGUAAUUAAAAAAGAAUUUUUAAAAAACUUAUAUUACUUAAAUAAUACCUAAAUUUAUAAACUUACAAGACAAUACAUAGCAAAAAAGAGUUAUCAAAUUUUGGUACUACUUACUAUUUGCUGUGGAUAUUCUUAAAUUUUUGUUUUCUUCUAACAAACCUUAAAACUGUUUAAUGGAAAUUUAAAAGUUCCUUUAGACAUCGAUACCUUUUUAAGAAUGUUGUUCUGCUCUCCAUAUUUGUAUACACUUGAGCAAAUUGUUUGCAUGUAUGUAUGUCUACAAAUGCAGAUGUGUGCAUGUGUGUGUGUUACAUAUAUGGAUAUUGUAUGUGUGAGUGUAUAAAAUAGUGAACAACAGGAUAUGAUCUUGCUUAUUAUAGAUAAUUACAUCAAAGGGUUUUAUAUAUAAAUAAAAUUACAAAAAAAAAUAUAUAAUCUUUUUUUUUACUUAGUUUCUUUUAAGAAACAAUGUUCAUUUGAUUUAAUAUUUACCUGAUGCUCUCCCUCUCUCUCUCUCUCUCUCUAUCUCUCUCUCCCUAUCUAUCUAUCUAUUUAUCUACUUAUCUCUGAACCACUUUUAAAUUGAGUGAGCUGCAAUUAUACAACAUGGUCCCAAACUCUAAAUUCAGUGCAAUCACACUUUCUUGCUGAUUCUUGUUUUUUUUUUUUCUUCAAAGAUAUAUAUAUGUAUAUAUACAUACAUAUAUAAGAGCGUUAUAGUUUGCUUUUAUAUAUAUAUAUAUAUAUAUAUAUAAAGCAUCUUAUUACUGACUUCAUACAAUUGUUUCUUUUGAUUUACAUAUUAUAGUAGUAUACUGGUAAUGUCAUCUUGCUUGUGAGAUAAGAUUUUCUCUAGAAAAAUCAUGAAUAGAUAUACAAGAAAGGAUUAGAUUUAUUUACCAAUAUUAAGAGAAAAUAGUUUAAACAUUAAUCUGUGUAUCAUUUUCAGCUUAAGUAUAUAUUACCUAAUCCCAUCUUUUAGAUUUUGUUUUUGUAGGUCAUUUCUUUUUAUAAAUAUGGCAUGUGGCUUUUACAGAUGUCAUCCCAAUAACGUUUAUCAUUCACAUUUUUGUUCUCAAUGAUAAGAUGCUUCUUUUGUUUUAGUCUUUGCUUGCACUAUGCGGCUUAUUGGUUUUUGUUUUUUUUAAAUCUGGACAGAGUUUUCAAUGAGUAAAACAAUUUAGAGAACAAACAAAUCUUCCAGAAUUACUAUUAAGCAGAUUGUUAAUAAUAAUAUUGAAUUGAAGUCAGAGUUACAAAAAUAAAAAUAAAAUAUUUCUCAAUAAUUAUAUAGGUGCGAAACCACCCAGCAAGUCUUAGCUAGUUCCCAUUUAAUCACACUAUGUCAAUAAACUUCUGAAUAUUCUACUUACCUUUAAUAUACCUACCCACCCUGCAUACACACAUGCAUGUACAAAUGAUAUACAUUUCAUUGUUUCUAUGGAAUUAUCAGACUAUUUGCCAGAUCAUAUGUAAAUGCUAAGCACUGUAACUUAUUUUCAUUGUAUUUAGAUUUUUCUUGACAAUAUUGGACAAAUACAAUGUGUUCAUAACUAUCAAUAAACUAUUAUAAGUGCAUAAAAGAUGAAGGAAAUGAUAUAGCAAUUAAAAAUCUUUCCCUUCUUAAGAUUAGGGAUAUUUUCAUAAAGAACAAAAAUUGGUAUUCAUAUUUAUUGUUAAUAAUGAAUGGAGUAGAAAAUUUAAGAAAAAGAGAAUACGCUAAAAAAUAAAUUCAGUUAUUUUGGUGAUAAAGGAAUAAAUUAGUGGAUAUUUUAAAGUAAAGCAAAGCACAAGGAAAAACCUCAAGUUCUUAAAUCUGGAUUCACACUAAAAUAUUAGUUAGCAUCACUGCCACUGGUGGAGAAGCUGACUUAGACAAUUCAAUAUAAAAGGAAAUUAUGGCAGAAUUGUUAGCAUGCCAGGCAAAAUGCUUAGCAGCAUUUUGUCCAUUUUUACAUUCUUAGUUCAAAUUCCUCCAAGGUCAUCUUUGCCUUUCAUCCUUUCAGGGUUAAUAAAAUAAGUAUUAGUUGUUUACUGGGGUCAACAUGAUCAACAUAACAUUGCUGGCCUUGUGCAAAAUUUGAAAUCAAUAUAAAAAGAAAUUAUAAAAGGAACAAAAAAUAAAAUUCUUUAAAAUUCACCAUGACAUUGAUUCUCCUGUAUUUAUGAAAGUAGGUUUUUUUAAAAAGAACACAUGAUCAGUUUUUGCUGAAAGAGGAAUAGAAUUGAUGCCAAUCAAUAACUAAUACUUAGUUUAUCAUUACUAAGCAUAUAAGAAAAAUUUAAUUAGCUCCAACAGAACGUUUUCUUAGAACAGUACCAAACUAGUUUGUUAUGAAUUCAAUCAAGUGUUAUAUUGUUUAGCUAGCUCAAAUUACUGAGACAUGAUGAGUUAAAUUUAUCAGGGAGGAAGAACACAAAUUGCCAGGUUUAUACCAAUUUCAAGGGCAUUUGCACUGGAAAUGAAGAAAAUUAUUCAAACUGGAAACUGAAACUAGGUUACAAAUUUGAAUUUACAAUUAGAACUUACUUCAAUAUUUCAAUAGCAAUCAUAACAACAACGAUGAUGAGGAGGAGAAUGAUUAAAAGAAAAAUUUUCCGAAUUACUAUGAUUUUGUUUCUUUAGGGGUUUUCGUCUCAUCCAUAAGUAAAAGUUCAGGGAUUUCUUUUUAAAUACAAAAUAUGUUAACUUGGUCCUUAAUGUCUUCCAAAUGGUAAUAACAAUGCUUAAAAUUUCUAAUCUCUCAAAAAAUGAAAUAUAAACUCAGUCACUGGAAAAUAGUAGAAAAUAAUAGGCAACACAAAAUAAAUAAAUAAAAUAAUGCAUAAACAGCAUAAAUUUCUUUGAAUUUUAAUUCUUUUUUUCAAUUAUAGAACUUCUUUUCUGACUUGCAUAUGUCUCCCUCACCAUUUAUUAUUGAUAUAAUGAUGAUGAUUAUCAUCAUUAACAUUAUAGUUAUUAUUAUUAUUAUUAUUAUUAUUAUCGAUAUUAUAAUUACUAUUAUUAUUAUUAUAAUUAUUAUUGAUUAGUAUUGCUACUGUUAGUUUCUUUCAACCAAAAUGAAAAUGUCAAAACUUCAUGGAAAAAAUAACUAAAAAUAAGUAAAUAAAAAAAACUCAGAAUACGUGGACAACAAAAUAUUCAUUUUAAUGAAAACAUUUUUUUUUUCUACAUUCAUUAUGUUUAUUAUUUUGAAAUCCACACCAGCAACAGCCAAGUGUUUUUUGGUUUUUUUGUGUUUUUUUUUAUAUACUCUUGAAACAAUAAUUUUACAUUUUUUUCCCUUUUUCUACAACUCCUUUUAUAAAAAAUGUUAAAAAUGAUUAAAAAAAAUAUUAAUGAAACAAAAUCAGUAUAAAAAGAACAAAGAAUGUCGUUACUGGACUACACAGCAUGCAUUCUCCGUGAAGUGCCAAUGAAAAAAUAAAUACCUUAUUGAAGAUUCCUAACUCUCUUACCAGUGGCAGUGGUGAUAUCCCUGAAAACAAACAAACAAAUGCAACAACAACUACAAUAAUAAACAUACUAAAAUGUUACUGUUGAAUUUAGAGGUCUCUGGUCUUAGAUGGUUUAUUUAGUCACAUAUUUUGUGAUGCAAUUUGAAGUGAUUUCUAGUGUAGUACCUAGUAGAUUAACAGCUACAUUAGGGUACAAUCAGUUGUAAGUUAUUUUAGCAAGACUUAUUUCAGUAACUUCAAUUCCAGUGCAGGACUGGCCAGUCUGCCAUGCACUGUAGCAAUCAGUUGUACCAUACUGUUUCUUUGUAUUUAUUGUUAAAUUACUGAAGAUAUUUAUAUGGCACUAACUUGACUGGUUUUUUUAAUCAGUUGGGCUAGUAAUAAACAUUUAUAACCAAC
rnacentral:lncRNA from 1 species